UAAGGAGUAGCAAUGCAUUCUCUUAACUCAUUAUAUUGGAGUUGAUUUUGUGGUCUGUACCAGUGAUACAGACUACAUCACAGCGAACAGUGACAGAGUAGGCGAUACACUGUCAACAUUUAUUCUCAUCCUUUUGUUUAUCUUCUCUACAUCAGACACUGGCGUCAAUAGUCCCGUACUCCGUGAAGACAUUAACAGUUUCCACCUCUCUCAGGUAACACCUGUUGCAUGAUUCGUACCCAACUUUCAGUCUUUAAAUAGUUAAAGUCCUGGACAACUAGGUCCACUACGUGGUCUUCAACAAUUGUUGACAAACAUUUUUACUUUUUUUUUAUUUUCCUGACAAAUCAACAUAAAAGGAAUGAGCAGAACUCGCCCUCCAAUGUACGUGGAAAUUUUGUGCGAAGUAAGGCAAAGUGUUGCAGACUACAUCACAACGAACAGUGACAGAGUAGGCGAUACACUGUCAACAUUUAUUCUCAUCCUUUUGUUUAUCUUUCCUGCAUCCAGACACUGGCGUCAAUAGUCUUGUACUGUCUGAACACAGUCGCUGUUUCCACCUCUCACAGCUUACAGGAAAGCAUUCACUUUGCAAAGCUGUGGACAUCGGACUCACAGGUAAAUCUUGUUACACGUUUACUCUCUAAGACGAGAACGUUGUUACCUGAGUACUAUGCACGUAGGUGACAGUAGGUGACACUUAUCCUCUGUACUCUUUCAUUAACAAAUUUAUAAAAGGUACACAUUAUCUCAGUAAAAAUAUCAAGGAAUCACACAGCUUAGAGAAAGAUGCUGCAAAGCUUUUCGUGUUACUGAUACUUUUAGUGUUACAACAGUGUUUAUUUAACUUUAAACCACUGGAUUAUUCUUUCAACGGCAUUUUUCACUAGUGUUUGCAGCUCUUAUUGUUGAAUUCUA